UCUCAGAUGGCCUUGUGAAGCCCAAGAUGCUCUAGCAGGAGAUCAAGCAUCAUUCUAACUGGGAUCCUUACAAUGCUUGUCUCGGCCUGUGUCAUAGGAAAUUUUAGAAUGGUUAUAUAAUUUUCCAGAGUACUAAAGUUGACAACAGUUGGUUUUAUACCAUGAAAACAAAGGUCUGGGUAACUAAAGGACAAUAAUCUUUGUUGUGCAAGAGUUUUAUUAGAUUCUUACUGUCCUAUUCGACAAUUGAGACAGUAAUUGAAAAAAAAUCAAAUGCUACCAUGAAUCAUAAGAUAAACCAGCAGAAAAUCUAAAGCCUAAUCAUCGGACAAAGUCACACACAUGAGCAGAUCGCUUCAAGUAUUGUACAAAGAACAAUGGCCUAGGAAACCAAUCCACAAUGCAGCGAGUUUGCUACAAAGAAAAUCCUAAGGACAACCUGUACACACUCAUACGCAAGCGUCAAUUCUGGUGUUUCCAACUUUAAUGAUAGGCUAAUCGAAACGAGAGGCCAAGCAGUCCUGGAUAAUCAUUUUGAAAAGUCUAAUUAGACAAUGUUAAGUGCAAGAGAGGCAAGGUGACUAAUUCAACAAUGCGCCAGGAACGGCCAGAAAAAGAUGAUUGCACUCACACAUCCAUUGUAGUUCUUGUAGUCCUUGUUUGUUUUGCAACAGGCAGACCAAUGUUACCAAGAAUGGCAUUAACCAUAGACUUUGGGCUGAUCAGCUCUUCAGUUAAUGAGACACCAAACGAUUCGAUAGGUAUAAUAUAUUUGGAAACAGAAUGUGUCAGGCCAGGCUCAAAAACAAGAAUGACACGAUAAGUAAGAAAACAACGGUGGCACAAGUUAAUAUGUGAAUAGGUGGCCUUUAGAUCGUUUAAUAGAUUCAUUAUGUGAGUAUUCAUACUAAGUAAAACUCAAUACCACAACUAAAUUAUAAUCAAUAGAUUUGGAGUAUUCUCUCUGAAAAGGGCAGCAUUUUUAUACACAGCCCGAAUAACAGUAAGAUCACUCACGUGAACCCUAGAUCGAUACUACUGAAGUACAGAAUUUAUAAGCGACCGACAGCUCGUGUUUACCUUGUUCAUUGGUGGCACCGUGGACUGCGUUUUCCAUGUUCCUGUCGCCGGCGUGGUGGACAUGAGUUCCCUCCAUGCACUGAUUGGUAUUGAGUAGUCAGUUGCUUUCAGAUCACAAAGAACUACAUCAAACAAAGAUGAAUCUAGCUAAAGGAUGCAUGUCCUGCAUACAAUGUAUAUUAGACAAUGCUAAGAGCUAAAAAUAUUGAUUGGUGCAAGUUUGAAGAGAACAAAUCUAAAUUACAUCAUACUUGAAUCUUAGCAAAGCAAAUGGUCAAAUAAUAUAUGUAUGAGUGGUAGAAGAAUAGCAAUGGCCCAAAGCAGAUACGCGAAACAACAAUCAGGAUCCAGAAAGUCCAAGGCAAGGCCUCUAAAAAGAAUCUGCUCCACACAAGAAGAAACCAAAGACAUUUUUACAGCAACAUAGCCAGUCCUGCCAAAUAGUACAUGAAUUAAAGAAGGAAACGAGCUUACCCAGUAGGAGCAUGACUGGCACGACCACCGACAGUAGAGGCGAAUGACAGAAUCGUCCGUGGAAGGAAAAAUCGAGCACGGCAAGUAAUCUGCAGUGCAAACCACGCGUCAAAUAUAAAGCUUCCGCCACACACCAAUAUGAGUCUCAAUCCAAAAAAGUAGAGCCAGACCAGGCCAAGACACUAAUAUGAAUCUCAAUACAAGGGCACAAUGAGCACUGAAGAUUUUUCAGCAUGUACCAUACAUCUAGAAUAACAUGAGCAGCCCUCUGCAAUUUAUUACUGAUGCCCAUGCGUAUGUUACGUAUAUUUACUAAGUAUAUAAUUAGCAAAGGAGAGAGAGAGAGAGAGAGAGGGGCGAAUCUUACCAACGAGGGGCGAGACGGGGAGUGGUGGCUAGGUUCCGCCGACGUCCAGCAGGCUGCCGAUGUCGUUGAUGAUCCGGUCGGCGUCGUCGAUGAAGAGGGUGGCAACCCCGGCGACGAAGCCCGACGCGCUGCCGCCAUCCUCCUGCAGCGACUGCAGCUGCCGGAACUGGUCGUCCACCAUACCCUAGGAACAACAGAUCGGCCACGCCGGAGGCAACGGGUCAGGUCGAAAUGGCGACGACGACGACGACAACCCCCUACUGGAUGCUCCAGCGUGAUGUCACACUUUGACAUAGGGUAUAGUACACACGUAUGCAAAAUCUCUAGCAUCUAGACUCUAUCUUAGUACAUUCUCUGAUGGUGCAAACUUUACAUAUGAAGAUAAUUAACUUAUCUAGACCCCAGGACGGAGGAAAUCAUUUCAAUCGAUCUUAAUAAUACCUUGGUAUGCUUUAUAUUUUUCCUGGGACUAAUUAUGUAUGUGGUGAUGACACAAUCCUAGUGGGAUAGCAUCACCCAUUCCUUGUUCAAAGCAACAUCACAAUAAACCAAUCCGUGUCACAAAUCGAAGGUGGGGACUGGACAACGAGCUAUGUCCAACGGGAAGCAACACCAGCAGCUCACAAUAUAAAUAAAAAGUGUCAUCAGUAAAGUAGUUGACAAUAAACUAUAAGCUCAAAUCAUAGAACUAUUGUUGCAGGUCAAAACAAUUGAAGUAUGAUUUACCAAUCUACAAACAUAGGCACAUAAAUAAAAUUGUUUGAUUCUUGCCUUUACAUAUAUAAUAUAAACAGAGACACAUAAUGAGGACUCCUAAUAAAAAAUCUCAGUUUUUGUUUCGCUAAUUUACAGUGAGAAGAGAAAUAAAAACAUGUACAAUCUGGAAGUUCAACUACUUUCAAUACAAUUUUCUUCUGGUUUCUAGUUUUUCUUAGGAGAGAACAAGUAACACAACUGAAUAAAACAAAUCAAAGAUGAUUAAGGGCUGAUGCAGUACAAGGAAAGUAAGAGGAGGAGAGGGGGACAGACCUCCCUGGACAUGCAUAUCGCCCCACCUCCCUUGCCCUUCUUCUUCAGGUCCUUCUGCUCCUUGCUCAUCCAUCCCCUUCUUCUCCUUUUCUCUGCAGCACAUGGACGGGGGAAGCACCAAAUUGAUGCCCCCCAAAACACAAAUCGGUCCAAAUCACAAGUAUUAUACAAGGUAAAAAAAUGAUUUUUCGGUAAGGAACAGAAGAGGGUAGAUAGAGGGAGAGGGCCGAGGAUACCGUGGCUGCCGCUAUGUUGUGUUGGGGAAGAAGCACACCCCCUCUACCGCCGAGUGGUGGUGGAGAA
rnacentral:lncRNA from 1 species